rnacentral:rRNA from 1 species
UACGUAGGUGGCAAGCGUUGUCCGGAUUUAUUGGGUUUAAAGGGUGCGUAGGCGGAUCUUUAAGUCAGUGGUGAAAUCUCUCGGCUCAACCGAGAAACUGCCAUUGAUACUAUUGAUCUUGAAUACAGUUGAGGUGGGCGGAAUGUGUCGUGUAGCGGUGAAAUGCUUAGAUAUGACACAGAACACCGAUUGCGAAGGCAGCUCGCUAAACUGUGAUUGACGCUGAGGCACGAAAGCGUGGGGAUCAAACAGG